rnacentral:snoRNA from 1 species
CUGGCUGAUGAGGCUAAGGCGAAUGCGACUGCCUACUGACUCUUGGCUGGGGUGAGGGGUUGACUGAUGAGAUCUGAAAUCUUGGUGGGGGUGCCUGAGGCCUGGCUCCCUACUGUAAGGCCAGAUCAACAGCAUUGCUGGCCUUGCCUUCAUGUCUGCUGUCACCAUAGUUCUGGCAGCAUCCUGCAGGGAGGCCCACAGUGGGUGGCCAAAGUGUGAGUAGCCAUGUGAGCGCAACCUUGAAUCUGACA